rnacentral:rRNA from 1 species
GAUGAACGCUGGCGGCGUGCCUAAUACAUGCAAGUCGAGCGAACAGACGAGGAGCUUGCUCCUCUGACGUUAGCGGCGGACGGGUGAGUAACACGUGGAUAACCUACCUAUAAGACUGGGAUAACUUCGGGAAACCGGAGCUAAUACCGGAUAAUAUAUUGAACCGCAUGGGUCAAUAGUGGAAGACGGUUUUGCUGUCACUUAUAGAUGGAUCCGCGCCGCAUUAGCUAGUUGGUAAGGUAACGGCUUACCAAGGCAACGAUGCGUAGCCGACCUGAGAGGGUGAUCGGCCACACUGGAACUGAGACACGGUCCAGACUCCUACGGGAGGCAGCAGUAGGGAAUCUUCCGCAAUGGGCGAAAGCCUGACGGAGCAACGCCGCGUGAGUGAUGAAGGUCUUCGGAUCGUAAAACUCUGUUAUUAGGGAAGAACAAAUGUGUAAGUAACUAUGCACGUCUUGACGGUACCUAAUCAGAAAGCCACGGCUAACUACGUG